CGUAAGGAUUUAAAGGUCGAACAGACCUUCCUUUAUAACUGCUGCAUUAUAAGGAUACCUUAAUUCAACAUCGAGGUCGCAACCCUUCCUGUCGAUAUGGACUCUUAAAGAAGAUUACGCUGUUAUCCCUAAAGUAACUUAAUCUUAUGAUCUUUAAAAAAGGAUCAUUAAUUUUUCAGAUAUUUCUGUUAUAAAUGUUAUAAGAACAGUUACCUUUUAUAUUCCCGUCGCCCCAACGCAACAAACACCGUUUAAAAUCAAGUUACACUAACAGUUUAUAAUAUAAACGAUUUAUUGUCAAGCUUUAUAGGGUCUUAUCGUCCCCUUAAUCUAUUUAAGCCUUCUCACUUAAAAGUUAAAUUCAAUUAUUAUAAUUGAGACAGCUUACUUUUUGUCCAACCAUUCAUACAAGCCUUCAAUUAAAAGACUAAUGAUUAUGCUACCUUCGCACGGUCAGUAUACCGCGGCCCUUUAAAUUAAAUCAGUGGGCAGGCCAGACUUUAUAUAACAAUCAUAUAGAC
rnacentral:rRNA from 1 species